rnacentral:rRNA from 1 species
AUCAUUGGGCGUAAAGCGCCUGUAGGUUGUUUAGUAAGUCUGUUGUUAAAGACUAGGGCUUAACCCUAGAAAAGCAAUGGAAACUACUAGACUAGAGUAUGGUAGGGGUAGAGGGAAUUUCUAGUGUAGCGGUGAAAUGCGUAGAUAUUAGAAAGAACACCGGUGGCGAAAGCGCUCUACUGGACCAUUACUGACACUCAGAGGCGAAAGCUAGGGUAGCAAAAGGGAUUAGAUACCCCUGUAGUCCUAGCCGUAAACGAUGGAUACUAGAUGUUGCGCUUUGUGCAGUAUCGUAGCUAACGCGUUAAGUAUCCCGCCUGGGGAGUACGCUCGCAAGGGUGAAACUCAAAGGAAUUGACGGGGGCCCGCACAAGCGGUGGAGCAUGUGGUUUAAUUCGAUGCAACGCGAAGAACCUUACCAGGGCUUGACAUACUACGAAUUUUCUUGAAAAAGAAAAGUGCCUUCGGGAAUGUAGAUACAGGUGGUGCAUGGCUGUCGUCAGCUCGUGUCGUGAGAUGUUGGGUUAAGUCCCGCAACGAGCGCAACCCUUAUUUUUAGUUACCAAUUCGUUGGGUUCUCUAGAAAGACUGCCGGUGACAAACCGGAGGAAGGUGAGGAUGACGUCAAGUCAGCAUGCCCCUUAUGUCCUGGGCUACACACGUGCUACAAUGGCUAAGACAAAGAGUUGCGAGCUCGCGAGAGUCAGCUAAUCUCAUAAACUUAGCCUAAGUUCAGAUUGUAGGCUGCAA